rnacentral:rRNA from 1 species
AAUAGAUACCCGAGGUAGUCCACGACCGUAAACGAUGAGUACUAGAUGUUAGUAGGGGAACCUAUUAGUAUCGAAGCUAACGCGAUAAGUACUCCGCCUGGGAAGUACGGCCGCAAGGUUGAAACUCAAAUGAAUUGACGGGGGCCCGCACAAGCGGUGGAGCAUGUGGUUUAAUUCGAUGCAACGCGAAGAACCUUACCUACUCUUGACAUCCUGCGAAUCCCGAUGAGAGUUGGGAGUGCCGAAAGGAGCGCAGAGACAGGUGCUGCAUGGCUGUCGUCAGCUCGUGUUGUGAGAUGUUGGGUUAAGUCCCGUAACGAGCGCAACCCUUGCCCUUAGUUGCCAGCAAGUCAUGUUGGGGACUCUAAGGGGACUGCCGGUGAUGAACCGGAGGAAGGCGGGGACGACGUCAAGUCAUCAUGGCCUUUAUGAGUAGGGCUACACACGUGCUACAAUGGGGCGUACAGAGGGUAGCCAACCCGCGAGGGGGAGCCAAUCUCAGAAAGCGUCUCGUAGUCCGGA